CGCUUUGCAAAAUGCCCAGGGAAGCGCUCCAUCUGCACAGGGACUUCUGCCUGCUUCGCACGUGGCCCAAGCCCAGGGGGCUUCUCCCACCCCCAGCUCAGGCGGGGCAGCGGCAGAACCUUCCAUCCUCCCGGCAGACCCGAGGCUCCCACGGGUCCCUGAGGCUGCGGAUGCGGAGUGGGGUCCUCCGUCAGGGCGGCUAAAGGCUCGCGUUGCCAGCUGGCGGGUAGUAAGGGCCCUCUCACUGUUUUGCUUGGUUUCAUCACCCCAGCCUCCUGCCCUCCCGUGGUCCACGGGCGGAGCAAGGGGUGUUGCAGCGGCCUAGCUGGUGAAGGAAGGGAGUGAGGGUAGUUAUCACGGAAAGAGGACUAGAAAAGACAAUUCUUUUGGGGUGUAAGAGAACUUGGGGUGGGAAAAAGGACCCUAAAUUGGGACAAUUUUAUGAGAAGCUUUAACCAGUUCCCAGAGUGGAAUCCAAUUCUGAGACGAGGAUUCUUGUGAAGGCAUUUCUUAGGAAGCCUUCCCAGGGAAACCCCCAGGGGAAGGGGAAGGCAUGGCAGGAAGGGAAGAAGGCAAGCAAGCUGCGGUGCUGAGCAGAGGCCCGCGGGGAGAAGCGGGCCGGGCUGCACCUUGUGAAGGUUCACCUGGGGCCAGAGGGUCCUCGCGGAGCGGCUCGCGCGGGCUGGCCAGUGGCGCUGGCCGUCAGCGGGAGGCCUCAGUCCUCUCCCAGCGGCCGCUCCCAGGCCUGCUCCAGCGUCCUCAUGAUGCGGAAUCCGCAGCUGUGUAGUCCGACAGGGGGAGCCAGGCAGAAGCCAUCCAUUUCAGGACCCAGCCUGGGAGGUCCCCUAGCAUGACUUCCCCAUCUCGGAUUCUUUAGAGGGGCGUCACUCGGUCUGACCCACAUCUGAGGGGAAGGGGGUUAGGGUCCCCCUCCUGAAGGCAGGAGUGUCAAAGAAUUUGUGGACAUCUUUUAAAACCACUACAGUAACUUCGGCUCAGCCUUGCCCCGAAGCUCUGAAGAUAACACUGUUUACCCUCAACCUGGUUUCCAUCGGCUGCAAGGCGGCGGUCGGAUUCUCACAUGCUCAUACCCCCUAUCGCAGAACAAGGGCGGCCUUAGGGGGGUGGGCUCCCUGACCCACAGGCAAAGUGGGAGCCUGCGAGCUGCCCUUUGAGGAGUGACGCCGGUGCUGGCCACCGAGUGUGAACGCCAUUGGGAGGUACGCACACCAGUGUGGCCGAGUGAUCUGAGGGGAUGAAAGGCAACACACUGACAAGGUCUGCUACAACCCAAGAGCGUGGCUGAUUUAACAUAAUAAACGGGAUCUUAUUUACACAGCGGUUGUUCUAUUUACACGAUUGUUCGAGGAAUAAUUCAGUAAUGUGGCUCUCGGGCUCCGGUCCAGCAGUGUUUGCAGAAGAGUGCUCCAGACUCCUUUGAUGGGGUCAUCAGCUUUCUGCUCUAUCUUCCCUUGCUUAUGUGAUUUCAUCUCCAAGCAGAAUUCACUGUCUUCUCAGAGAGCCUGGGAGCAGAUGUCGGAAAACUACAUAAUGAAAUCAAGUAACAAAAUAGAACUCGGCAGAUGCUUGCCCGAAAGAGCAGGGGAAGGAGAUGGCCGGACACCAAGGGUUAUUAAUAACACUCUGUACUUUGACGAUGUCUUUCAUCUGAGCCUCGAAGAGCCGCACGGCCGUUUAAGUAAUCCAGGGAGUUAUUUUCUUGGAUAGAAUCUUUAAAUCCAACAGGUCUUUUGAAAGUUUGGUGCUUUGAAUGUUUUACUCUUUCUGGAUUGUUCUCAAGGGAAAAAUGAUUUUGAUUUAUAAAUCGUAUGGAGGUUUUUAAAAGUCAGUUAUUUCUUAAAACAAUAGAUAAUGCACUGCCUUUGGCAAUAUUUCUACGGAAUUCACGUGGUCUUUUCGUUUUCUGUCUCAAAGCUGUCUUCAUAAAAUUAUUUAAGUACGUGAUAGAACAUUUCUGUUCAGCAGGGAAAACAUCUCUAAAGAUCCUGCCUGAAAUUCUAAUAGCUAUCGGUCCCAGUCUGCUAACCAUCUAUUAAUCCUCUUACAUGAGAUGCCAAAUGACCUGGUACCGAGGUCUCCACUGUUCUUUGUCUGCCAUGUGCCACUAUUGAUGGAACAGGGCCGCGGCAGUGAGGCGGCCCUGGCAACGAGGAGAAGAGGCCGUCUCUACACUGGGGUUUGUCCGGGGACUAAGUCAGUCUAUAAUUCAAUUUGCUUUGAGAUCCUGCACCAGAGAAGCAGAGCACGGCAGAGAGACACGAGGGGCUCCACCUCCACGCGGACCCAGGAGCGGGUCUCCCACGCAGGCUGGUGCCUACCUCACUCAGUCAGUCAGCCGGCACAGCCACACUGCCGCCUGUUAGCAUGCGACCGCCCGUGGAGAAGCAUGAGAUGCAGUGGGAAAGGCACUUGGGCUGUAUCUCAUUAACUUGUCACAUCUCUUCCCCGAAGUGCAUGAGGUUGUGUUUUGCCUACUGUGUGGUCACUGAUUGUUUCAUCACUGAGUCCUGAACUGAAAAGGGCUGCAGCGUAACAAAGUCCAGAUCCGGAAGGGAAAGACUUGGGCUGCCAGGACUGAAACCACAGCAAAGGACACGUCCCCGAGGGGUCCGGGAUUCACCUGCUGUCCGGGGCAGCGCCUGCCCUGUUUCUCCGGCGCUCAGCAUGAGGAGUGUUGCUGGGCCUCACAGGCCUACAGAGUGGACUAACAAGGGAUGUGUUUGCAGCUGUCAGGAGGCUGGUGGCUGCUGCGCUGCAGAGACUCUGGACCGGACAGCCCUUUCUGGCUGAUGUUUUCUUUUUCUUUUUUUCAGGUGGGCAGCAGGAAGUUUUCCUUUCCUGGCGGUUCCCGAGCAUUUGGAAUUCCCAGCUACUUCCACGAGGUGGCAGCACCGAGAGCAGGGCCGCCGCGCGCUCGGCCCGGGGCUGGGGCUCCCGGCACAACCUCCGGGAGGGCCUCCCACCCGCGGACCCCUGAGCCAGGUCUGCUCUGGCUCGCCCUUUUCUUCGAGAAAAGACCAUUCGGAGGCUUGUGCCUUUGCGGACUGUUUCAGCCGUGGGCCCACCUUCCUCUCAACGAGCCCGCUUCUUGACGUAAGACGUGAGCUGAUGCUUUGUCCCAGCCGUAUCCUGGGCUGAGGCAGGCCCCCGAGCUCCACGGGUCAUUGUGCCACCUGUCCUUUCUGCUGUGCAGAAGUCUGUGGAAAUGACUGUGUUUCUCUUGAGGAAGGAAUUCUGCUCACUCCUUAAUAGUUCCUUUCUUGGAGAGGGCUGGUCCCCUGCCUUGGGCCAGGCCGGAUCCGCUGGGCCCCACAACGUUUUGCCGAGCAGAAGGGGCGUUCAAGGCGGGUGGGUGACAAGGUCCUGGCCCUCGAGGGGUUGAAUGUCACCCCAGAGAGCCCGGAGGGUCCAGAGCCAGUACAGAAGUCCACUUGGUCUGGGUUCUGCGCCGUUGCUGCGGUUUUCUGCCUCCCUGCCUUGACGUCCCCUUCCAGCUUCCCGCCCGAGGGGCGCGCGGGAGGAUGUCGCGGCGCGGUCCCCUGUGCCCGGCAGGCUCUGCCCCGGCGGCGCGCCCCGCUCGGCGGCCUCCCUCCCAGCGGCCCACGCCACCCCUGCUGCGGGCCGACCGCCGCCUGAUCUCAGCCCACUUUCUCUUUAGCUUCCUACAGUCAUUGCCCUGCCCGGGACUCCCACCCCGACCCUGAGGACAUCCGUAAGUCCAUUUUGAAGAAAGGCACCAGCAACGCUCAGUUCUCACUGUACCCCGCCUCUGUCCUUCCCCUCACUCACCGGAACCUUCCAGAAACUCUUCCCAUCUGGCUUCAGUGACUCUUCCGUGAACCCUCCUGAUUCUCCUCUUCCGGGUGUCUUUGUGGCGCCCUCCCUCUUAUCUCCGAAAGGUAGACCCCUCCUAGUCCUAGAACCGCACCCUGUGCCGUGUCCCCCAGGACUCUCACCCCCGCUUCUAAGUCCUGUCCUGCUUUCGAUCUAGUCGGUUUGGGGGACCACAUUUCCAGCUGUGUCCUAGCUGGCACACUCGAGUUCCAUUUUCAUGGUCUUCUGGGCUUUCCACAUCGCUGCGCCAUGAUCACCACGGACCAGGUAUGACUAACAUCAAACUUGUCUCCUCUGUGGGUCAGAAAAUAGCCCACAUUUCCUUUCCUGUGCCAAUUUUAAUGCCGUCGCUAUCGAUAACCUGAAAAACCUGGUGAUGCCUGUGCCUUUUCCAUCUCUCCUCCCCCUCAUAUCCAAUCGAUUAGCAAGUCCAUCAACAUCCCCUCCUUUUUUUAUUUCUGCGAGGUGACAACUGUGAUGUGCUAGAAAGAGCCUUUCACUUUGCAUCGGAAGGGUGAUGUUGGCACCAUUUGUCAGCUGUGGGACAUUGAGCAAGGAACUUUUGCAACCCUGUCCCAGCGUACUAGAGCGAGAUCACAGCAUCCAGAGAUGAUGGCCUUUGGAGACCAUAUAGGCAAUCCCCUUUUUUUAGGAGUAAGAAAACCAAGUCCCAGAAGUGACUCAGCUGAGGUCUCAGAGCUGAGACCCAGCACCAGGUAUUUGGACCACAGGUCAAGGCUCUUUCUUCUGAUCCAAUGGGUCUUCAGGAAGUCCCCGUUAAAAUAGAAAUGUGGCUUUAGAGGGAACCACACAGAAGCCAUCACUGCUCCUGAACACUAAGACCAUCUCCUCUAACCCCCAGACAGAAGCAAAAGAAAGGCCAGUUUUGAAGGGGGCAAAGGAGAGGAACAGCUCUGAGCAAAGCAGCCUGGGAGCCCAUGUCAGGGCCGUUGGCAUCCUGUCAGUUACUGAUAGACCGACUGGGGGCGGCACGUGACUUGGACAGUGUGUGGAGCUCAAGAUGUCUGCUGGGUUGGCUGAGAACUAGAUGCGACCCUUGGAGCUCUGGAAUCCCUCCUGCUCUGAUGAGGGAAAAUCCGCCAAGACCGACUCGGUGUGGAGAAAGGAGGGCAGAGAAACUGAGAAGGAGGAAUCCCAUCCUCAUGACAUGGUUUGAGCCCCUUGAUGGAGCUUUGCCUGAAACUAGCCCUACCUUUGAAUGUUUUAUGAGC
ensembl:lncRNA